GCUAAGAUAGUUUAAUGGUAGAAUCACGGUUUUCCAUACCGUUGGCCGGGGUUCGAUUCCCCGUCUUAGCA
rfam:Hanseniaspora opuntiae strain AWRI3578 Hanseniaspora_opuntiae_AWRI3578_scaffold9, whole genome shotgun sequence.